CAGAUUAGAGAGGCAGGAACAUAGACAUCCACAUCUCAGAGUGUCACACUGUAAGAAGAGCAUGUGACAGGGAAUUAUUGUUGCAAGUGUCUUUGGAAUAGACCAUCUAUCAAAGACACACAAGACAGGCUGCUCCAAAAAUAGCUCUCCCCCAAAUCAGCUGCAGUCCCCAACUUCCACCAUUAAUUUCACAUCACUUAGUAUUUGGACACAGGUAAGGUCUCAUGAAAGAAGGUACAGAAUAUGAUUCCAACUUGGCAGCAAGAUGCCAAAAAGAGAGGAAGAGAUUUUUACCUUCUUGAGCCACACAAUAUGGUUGGAGGGCAGCAGUCCUUUCAAAUAUAUUCAGCCCCAUGAGACUUGAAGGAAAUCAGAGUGUGGGUGACAUGUACACACAGUCGUGAGAAAGGCCCUGCCCACCAUCAUCAGCCACAGUCUGUGUCUACCAGCAUAAGAUAAUAGACUACAGGAACAUCAGCAGAAUAGGAAAAUGGAUGUGGCAUCUCUCCACCUUCAAUAUUAGGAGAGGCACUCCCUCUCUCCUUGGGUUAAUAAAGAAGCUGGAUUAGGAGAAACGAAGAGGAAGCAAUAUGGGGUGGAUGUUUGUCCCCUUCAAAUCUCAUGUUGAAAUGUGAUUCUCAAUGUUGGAUGUGGGGCCUGGUGAAGAGUGGUUGGAUCAUGAGGGCAGAUCCCUCAUGAAUGGUUUAGCACCAUCCCCUUGAUGAUAAGUGAGUUUUUGCUCAGUUAGUUCACACAACAUCUGGUUGAUGAAGAGUCUGGGACCUCCCCUUUUCUCUCUCUUGCUCUUGUUCUCACCUUGUAAUAUUCCAGCUCCCAGUUUUUCUUCCGCCAUGAUUGUAGUUUUCCUGAAGCCCUCACCAGCUGCAGAUGCUGACACUAUGUUUCUUGUAUGGUCUGCAGAACUGUAAACCAAAAUAAAAAACUUUUUGACAGUGCACAAUGGCUCACACCUAUAAUGCCAGCACUUUGGAAGGCUGAGGCAGGUGGAUCACUUGAAAUCAGAAGUUUGAGACCAGCCUAGCCAACAUGGUGAAACCCUGUCUCUACCAAAAACACAAAAAUUACCCCAGCGUGGUGGUGUGUGUAUGUAAUCCCAGCUACUCAGAAGGCUGAGACACAAGAGUUGCUUAAACCCAGGAGGUGGAGGUUGCAGUGAGUCAAGAUCACUCCACUGCUCCAGCCUGG